rnacentral:lncRNA from 1 species
UUCAUUUAACUUUUGUUUUAUUUCAAUUAAUUUAUACACUAAUUUUCAUUAUUUCUAAAAUCUUUUUGGGAGAUGAUGAUUUCCUUACCACACCUAACUUAGUUUAAAUUUUCAUAAUUUUCUUGAUUAAUUUACUGUUUAUUUAAUAUUUUUUAAGUUGACUUGAAUGUUCAGUUGACUUCUUCGUGAUCGAUGUUUGACUUAGGGAUUGCUUAUGGAAAUUGAAGAGAUCUUUUGAUCCUCCCUUGUUCAUCUCAUAUGCCAUGUAUUAGAGUUCUUU